GGGUCAGUAGGUUGGUCGUGCCACCGGUACGUACUGGUCUCACUGAUUCCUCCUUCCUGAAGAACCGUAAUGCCAUUAAUUAGGUGUUGCGGGGAAACAGGACUGUUACUUUGAAAAAAUUAGAGUGUUUAAAGCAAGCUAACGCUUGAAUACAUUAGCAUGGAAUAAUGAAAUAGGGCGAUCGAUCCUAUUUUGUUGGUUUCUAGGAUUGACGUA
rnacentral:rRNA from 1 species